CCGGACCGAGAAAGGUGCACACACUCGACUCUGGCGUCGCUCUCUCGCUGCCUCUCUCUUUCUCUCCCCGUCUCUGUUUCGUCCCUUUCGCUCGCUCCACGCCGAAAGGAAUCGCGGGAGGAUUUAAGCCGCACUCGCGUCCACGUCGAUGGACGGUCCGGGCACGGUCACAUGGGAGGAAUUCCUCGAGAAUGCAGAGAGGUUCCUCGCCGUUUCUAACGAGAUAUCGGACGGAUGGGAGUUACGCGGGGACAAGGGUAUUCCUGGACAGGCGUAUCUGGUCAGAACAGCCAAGCGGUUCGUACCGAGCGACCGUACUGCGGGAAAUGGCGGAACAACGACCGGCGACCACGACGACGACGUCGAGGAGUUUAACGUGGAAUUCCAGAUAGACCCGCACGAAGCUCCUUCCACAAACGAUGUCCCACUCAUCGGCGAGCACCAUAUUUUAUGGUCGCUGGUUUACAGCGUCCCGGUCCUCUUUUUCAAUGGCUGGAAGUCAGAUUUCCCCGGCAUUAAUCCAGUGAGCGUGAACGAGGCGCGAAUGGUCCAUGCUUCCAAAUUGAAUUACAUGGAAUUAUCGCAAGCGAUUCACCCUAUCACCGGCGUACCGUUCUUGCAAUUACACCCGUGCCUGUCGCAGGAAUUGCUGCGAAGCAUGUCGAAGAGCAAGAAUAAACUCGUCAGUUGGCUGAGCUGCGUGGCAUCCGCGGCUCUAAAUCUCAAAAUACAUCCGGAUUAUUACAAGCUGACUUACUAGAGGCUGAAGUCAUCUCUAACACGUACGCCCACGAAAUCGUUGAAACUAAUCACAAACACCUUGGCGAGAAGCGUGUCUCGGCUGAAUGGAGCUCGCGGCUCGAGGUCCAGCGCUCAUCGAGGAGGACGAUCGCGCCGAUCUUUGUAUGUAGAUCACGCACGAGGGCCAGCGCGAACAGCGACUUCCCAUUUAUCAAGCUCGGCCGACGCUCAUUAAUGUUGACCGUGUAUUUCCGUUAGCGCGGCCUGAAAGAUCGGGCCGUUGCCGUUAGGGGGAAAAAACAGCGCGAUCCCUCCUUCAUGCGGCCGCUAAACGAAUGAGUAAUUGAGCGGCCGUUCUCGCGCUAUGUGCCAGUUUACGUCAACGUUCGUAACUUUGGCGUGUACGUCCUCGGGGAAUCUUCUCGCUGACCCUUCAACUAGCAUCAAGCUUAAUUGCCGCUCCAAAAUGACGAGCGGCCAAAUUGAAACGCACGACACCUGCUUGUAAUGGUUAGUCAUGAACGACAGUACGCCGACAAGAUUCUUUGCGACGAGAGCAUCCUUGCUACGUUUUUUCUUGUAAGAUCUGGAAAGAUAGUCGAGACUGACAGGUCGUAUAGAGGAUCGGAAUGAAAACAAGUUGAUCACAACAGUAGGAGUAUUGGCCGUA